rnacentral:tRNA from 1 species
GGCUAUCUAGUGCAAUGGUAGCACAUUUGGCUUCAAACCAAAAGGUUGUAAAUUCGAGUCCUGCGGUGGUAA